rnacentral:lncRNA from 1 species
GCUAAGUCCAGAGCAAAGUGAGGACGAUUUGCACAAACCAUCAUCACCUUCAUGGAUUCAGAUUCCCAUCAACAGUGAUUUACAGCAUGAAAAUUACAAUCACCGUCACCACCAACAUAAACAUCAUCACCUUCAUCAUAAUCAAGUCUAUAAACAUGAUAAAAAUGGAAAUGCAAAGCAUAGUAUAGAGCCGAAAUAUCAAUUGAGUGGAAGAUUGACUGAGACCAUGUCAUCAAUAAUCCUCGACCCAAGCAAACUUAACAAGCAAUCGCCAGGUUUAAAUGCUGAGCAACCACCCUUUUUAAUUAAUCAACAAUUAAUUACUUCCCUGGCAUCCUCUAUUGAUUCAACUUGUGAGGAGAAUUAUCAUGAUUCAGUUAAUAAAAAUUUGUCCCUCGGUGAAUUGAAA